rnacentral:rRNA from 1 species
UACGUAGGGUGCAAGCGUUGUCCGGAAUUAUUGGGCGUAAAGCGCACGUAGGCGGUUCGUUAAGUCAGAUGUGAAAGCCCCCGGCUCAACCGGGGAAGUGCAUCUGAAACUGGCGAGCUAGAGUACGAAAGAGGGUCGCGGAAUUCCCGGUGUAGAGGUGAAAUUCGUAGAUAUCGGGAGGAACACCGGUGGCGAAGGCGGCGACCUGGGUCGAUACUGACGCUGAGGUGCGAAAGCGUGGGGAGCAAACAGG